GCACCCCUAGCUCAAUUGGAUAGAGCAUCGGUCUACGGAACCGAAGGUUACUGGUUCGAAUCCAGUGGGGUGUA
rnacentral:tRNA from 3 species